rnacentral:rRNA from 1 species
GAGUUUGAUCGUGGCUCAGAUUGAACGCUGGCGGCAUGCCUUACACAUGCAAGUCGAACGGCAGCAUGAUCUAGCUUGCUAGAUUGAUGGCGAGUGGCGAACGGGUGAGUAAUACAUCGGAACGUGCCCUGUAGUGGGGGAUAACUAGUCGAAAGAUUAGCUAAUACCGCAUACGACCUGAGGGUGAGAGUGGGGGACCGCAAGGCCUCAUGCUAUAGGAGCGGCCGAUGUCUGAUUAGCUAGUUGGUGGGGUAAAGGCCCACCAAGGCGACGAUCAGUAGCUGGUCUGAGAGGACGAUCAGCCACACUGGGACUGAGACACGGCCCAGACUCCUACGGGAGGCAGCAGUGGGGAAUUUUGGACAAUGGGCGAAAGCCUGAUCCAGCAAUGCCGCGUGUGUGAAGAAGGCCUCGGUUGUAAG